rnacentral:rRNA from 1 species
AACGAACGCUGGCGGCAUGCCUAACACAUGCAAGUCGAACGCCCUCUUCGGAGGGAGUGGCGGCACGGGUGCGUAACGCGUGGGAACCUGCCCUUAGGUUCGGAAUAACUCAGAGAAAUUUGAGCUAAUACCGGAUAAUGUCUUCGGACCAAAGAUUUAUCGCCUUUGGAUGGGCCCGCGUUGGAUUAGCUAGUUGGUGGGGUAAAGGCCUACCAAGGCGACGAUCCAUAGCUGGUCUGAGAGGAUGAUCAGCCACACUGGGACUGAGACACGGCCCAGACUCCUACGGGAGGCAGCAGUGGGGAAUACUGGACAAUGGGCGAAAGCCUGAUCCAGCAAUGCCGCGUGAGUGAUGAAGGCCUUAGGGUUGUAAAGCUCUUUUACUGGGGAUGAUAAUGACAGUACCCAGAGAAUAAGCUCCGGCUAACUCCGUGCCAGCAGCCGCGG